UACGAAGGGGGCUAGCGUUGCUCGGAAUUACUGGGCGUAAAGCGCACGUAGGCGGCUUCUUAAGUCGGAGGUGAAAUCCUGGAGCUCAACUCCAGAACUGCCUUCGAUACUGAGAAGCUCGAGUCCGGGAGAGGUGAGUGGAACUGCGAGUGUAGAGGUGAAAUUCGUAGAUAUUCGCAAGAACACCAGUGGCGAAGGCGGCUCACUGGCCCGGUACUGACGCUGAGGUGCGAAAGCGUGGGGAGCAAACAGG
rnacentral:rRNA from 1 species